rnacentral:rRNA from 1 species
GUGAACGCUGGCGGCGUGGAUUAGGCAUGCAAGUCGAGCGAUCUUGUUCUUUUGCUGGAGCAGACAGUAAUGUCCGUUUUAGUAAAGGAGUAGGAUAGCGGCAAAAGGGUGUGUAACGCGUGAGUAAUCUGCCUCUAUGUCGAGGAUAGCCUUGCGAAAGCGAGGGUAAUACUUGAUGUUUUCGAGAAGCAUAAGCUUGUCGAGAUAAAGAUGCUUCAAAAGAGCAUUACAUAGAGAGGAACUCGCGUCCUAUCAGCUAGUUGGUAGGGUAAUGGCCUACCAAGGCUAUUGACGGGUAGCUG